UACGGAGGGUGCGAGCGUUGUCCGGAAUCAUUGGGCGUAAAGGGCGCGUAGGUGGCCCGGUCAGUCUUUGGUGAAAGCGCGGGGGCUCAACCCUGCGUCGGCCAGGGAUACUGCCGCGGCUCGAGCACUGUAGAGGCAGGCGGAAUUCCGGGUGGUAGCGGUGGAAUGCGUAGAGAUCCGGAAGAACACCGGUGGCGAAGGCGGCCUGCUGGGCAGUUUAGCUGACACUGAGGCGCGACAGCGUGGGGAGCAAACAGG
rnacentral:rRNA from 1 species